GUUUUACAGCAGAGUCUCCAGGAGGCCAGCAAACAAGAACAGAAUUACCUCCAUCUUCCUGAGGCUUCACCUAUGCACUAAAGGAGAUUUUAAGAAGAGAAUACCCUCCAUAUUCACAAUCACAGCAGAAAGUCUUCAGUUUGUUCUCUUCUGAUGCUAACUGCACAGUUCAGCAAACAAGAACAGCACCGAGCACAGGAAGAGGCAAGGGCAGCAGGAAAUGCCGAUGAAAGAUGGAAGAAGGGAAUGAUGGGAAGGUGAAUCAAUUGCCACCACAGUUGGGGAAUACCAAGUGGAAUAACAGCUGCCACCAUUCCAGAUUCAAAAGAUUUUUCAGCAGUCCAUUUCCUGCCCUCAGUCUGGUUGAUUCAUCUAUUUUCCUGUUUCCCUCCUAUCUCAACAUCUGGGGUUAAAUUGGCAGAUUUCUAUCUUUUCUUGGAAUGUAGGAGAAUGCAAUAAUAUAUGAGCACUUCCUUAGUAAAGUGAGCUGAAUAAAAACCUACCUUCGGUUAGUGGCUCUGCAGGGAACAGCCCACUAAAUGCUGCUUAUCGCUCUCCUAUCUCUAACUUGUGCAUCCUCAAAGAAUUGUAGAAUUCAGAGCCAACCUGCAGGUUAGAUGCUUGGGUGCCUGGUCCCUUGCUCUGUCACUGGACUCUCCAGUGAGUUCAACAGCAGACAAAGCUGGAUCUGAACUGCACCCUGAAUCACUGCUCAGUGUGUCCUGUGCUCAGUGAGUCCACGUGCUGGUGUCAGUACUGCAGCCCCAGUCAUCUGGAUGAGGCCACCAGCUCUGAGCAAAAAAAAAACAAUGCAAGUGCAGAUCAAACAGGUCAUCAAUGACAGGCAACUCGAAGAAUUUCUGGUGGGACUGGAGAAAAUCAUAUGGAAGGCAUUCAAGGUUGUUGCUGAAGAUUUUCUUGACAAUUACAGAGCAUCAAACUAUGUACGUCUGGUUGACAACAUGCUUCAAGCAUACAAAACCAUGAAGUGCAACAUGUUACUAAAGAUUCAUUUUCUGCAUUCCCAAAUUUCCACCCUGCAAAUCUUGGUACUGUCAGUGACAAGCAUGAUGAAAGUUUCACCUGGACAUUGAGAUCAUGGAGAAACGAUAUCAGGGCAACUAGAAUCCAUCAAUGCUGGCUGAUUAUUAUUGGACACUUAAGCAAGAAGCUUCAGGCACUGAGUACAAACAAAAAUUAUCAACAAAACAUUUUUAGCUUCGUUAAACUACUGCAAAGCAUCAGCACUAUUAGGCAAUUAAAUGCAUUAUAUUCAAUAAAAGAUAAUUUCUUGUUUCUCCAAAUUCCUAUGUGAUACAAGUAGUCUGAAAUUAUAUUUGUCUGCAGCUUCAAGCGGUCUAACAUAAACAAACAAAAUUCUGAGGAAGCAAUACUUGCGGAAAAAUUUGUUGUCCAAUUUUAUCGUUUAUGACUAAGCAGUACUGAACUUGUCAUCAAUAAUUAAAUUACUGUAUUAAAUGAAAUUUUCAAAACCUGCAUAUACUGUAUGUCAGUAGCAAUACUGGGGAAGUAGAGGCAAGUAGAUAUAUGCAUAUAAUUACCCAAAAAUUAUUGAACAAAAUAGAAAUUAUCUUCAGCCAUGGGAUGCAUAUAUGUGUGCAGAAGUAAUGGCAAUUCUUGAUGAAAUUAGAAGAACUUGACAGUAUUUAGAACAAUUUAGCAAAAAAAUCACGAUUUUCCAUAGAAGUUCUGAACAUUCUGUUUGCACUUGGAAUUUACUAACAUUUGAAAGCAACUAAAAUAACCUUUCCCAUGUACUUUUUCGAUAUUUUUGAAUUCCAAAUAAUUGGCCCCAAACUUUGUUUUAAGAUUAAUAAAAAAUAAAUCGGUAAUGCAAAACCAGCAUAUGUUUUCAAUUGUAUUAAUUUCCUUGAUGAUUUAGUAACUAAAAAUUGUGUUGAUAUUUGAAAAUUACAGUCACAACAGUAAAAUCAGAGGGCAUAUGGUUACAGUGAGAGGGAAAAGAUUUAAAAGGGACCCAAGGGGCAACAACUUCACAAAGGAGAUGACAUAUGAAAAGCGAUUCGGCAUGCACAAGCUGGGGUGAAGGGCCUAUUUCCACACUGUACCACUCUGUGACUCCGAAUAACAACCUGGUCUAAUAAUGCCUAACAAAGAACAUUACACCUCUUUGGCCCACAAUGUUGGACCAACCUUUUAACCUACUCUAGGAUCAAUCUAACUCUUCCCUCCUACGUUGCCCUUUAGUUUUCUAUCAGCCUUGUGCCUAUCUAAGAGUGUCCUAAAUGUCAAUGAUGUAUCUGCCUCUACCACCAGCCCUGGCAGGGUGCUCCACACACCCACCACUCUCUGUGUAAAGAACUUACCUCUCACAUCCCCCCUAUACUCUCCAGCUGGGGAAAAAGACCAUAAGACAAAGGAGCAGGAUUAGGCCAUUUAGUCUUUUGACCUGCUCUGUCAUUCCAUCGUGGCUGAUUUAUUAUCCCUCUUAAUCCCAUUCUCCUGCCUUUUCCUUGUAACCUUUUAUGCCCUGACUAAUCAAAAACUUAUCAACCUCUGCUUUUAACUCUCUGGCUAUCCACUCCAGCUAUGCCUCUUACCAUCCUGUAUAUCUCUAUCAAGUCUCCUCUCAACCUUUGCUCCAAAGAGAAAAUCCAUAGAUUGCUCAACCUACCUUACAUAGAAAUCUACAGCACAUUACAGGCUCUUCAGCCCACAAUGUUGUGCCGGCCAUGUAACCCACUCUAGAAACUGCUUAGAAUUUCCCUACCGCAUAGCCCUCUAUUCUUCUAAGCUCCUUGUACCUAUCUAUUCAGGAGUCUCUUCAAAGACCAUAUUGUAUCUGCCUCUACCAUCUUUGCUGGCAGUACGUUCCACACACCCACCACUCUCCGUGUG